rnacentral:rRNA from 1 species
AGAGUUUGAUCAUGGCUCAGGACGAACGCUGGCGGCGUGCCUAAUACAUGCAAGUCGAACGAAACUUUCUUACACCGAAUGCUUGCAUUCACCGUAAGAAGUUGAGUGGCGGACGGGUGAGUAACACGUGGGUAACCUGCCUAAAAGAAGGGGAUAACACUUGGAAACAGGUGCUAAUACCGUAUAUCUCUAAGGAUCGCAUGAUCCUUAGAUGAAAGAUGGUUCUGCUAUCGCUUUUAGAUGGACCCGCGGCGUAUUAACUAGUUGGUGGGGUAACGGCCUACCAAGGUGAUGAUACGUAGCCGAACUGAGAGGUUGAUCGGCCACAUUGGGACUGAGACACGGCCCAAACUCCUACGGGAGGCAGCAGUAGGGAAUCUUCCACAAUGGACGCAAGUCUGAUGGAGCAACGCCGCGUGAGUGAAGAAGGUCUUCGGAUCGUAAAACUCUGUUGUUAGAGAAGAACACGAGUGAGAGUAACUGUUCAUUCGAUGACGGUAUCUAACCAGCAAGUCACGGCUAACUACGUGCCAGCAGCCGCGGUAAUACGUAGGUGGCAAGCGUUGUCCGGAUUUAUUGGGCGUAAAGGGAACGCAGGCGGUCUUUUAAGUCUGAUGUGAAAGCCUUCGGCUUAACCGGAGUAGUGCAUUGGAAACUGGAAGACUUGAGUGCAGAAGAGGAGAGUGGAACUCCAUGUGUAGCGGUGAAAUGCGUAGAUAUAUGGAAGAACACCAGUGGCGAAAGCGGCUCUCUGGUCUGUAACUGACGCUGAGGUUCGAAAGCGUGGGUAGCAAACAGGAUUAGAUACCCUGGUAGUCC